GAUGAACGCUGGCGGCGUGCUUAACACAUGCAAGUCGAGCGAAGCGCUUAUCAUUGAUUCUUCGGAAGAUUUGAUAUUUGACUGAGCGGCGGACGGGUGAGUAACGCGUGGGUAACCUGCCUCAUACAGGGGAAUAACAGUUAGAAAUGGCUGCUAAUGCCGCAUAAGCGCACAGGACCGCAUGGUCCGGUGUGAAAAACUGAGGUGGUAUGAGAUGGACCCCG
rnacentral:rRNA from 1 species